rnacentral:pre_miRNA from 1 species
GGCUUCCCUCUGUGGGGCAAUUGAUUGUGGGGCCCCAGAUUGAUCGCCUUGCAGAGGGAGGCC